UCGCGUCGGAAUGAGUGCUUGAGCACUAAAGUCUGCUUUUAGCUGAAUGAGCUCAGUGAGCAGAACAGGAAGUUGGAAUGUGAGUCACGGAAAGUUCAACCUGCAGAGAAAGUACAAGUCCUUCACGACACACAGGAGCCGAGAAAUGGCUGUUCCUAAAGCGUACGACCCCAAACCCAGCAAACCAGAGAAACCUCCAUCAAAUAAAG